GGCGCUGCGUUGGUCGUCCAUUCCCUGGGCCGGUCGUCCUGCCGCCCUCGGCGUCUAGCCGUCGAAUACGUAACAGCUGGUGGCAGCGGACUGCGGACAGCGGAUGGAGCGCACGUCGGCGGUGGCCUUGGCGUCCGGUUUGAUCAAUGAGGGACUUGCAAAACGCCGGAAUGGAACUACAUGCGAACCCUGUAAUGGUCGUCACAAGGUCCCACACAAGAGCGCAAGCUACUAACGCUACUCGUGCCGCCGACAUUCCACAGCAAGGUGAUUCGUCACAAGCUGCCGCAACGAGCGAAGCCGUUCCAGCCGCACCAUCCGUUGAUAACACCCCGGUCGCUUCCGCGCCCGGAGACGCAACGAUAAGCCCAGUCAGUGAUAGCUUUCAACUUCUUGCGGAAAUAGACAAAAGCAUUCUCAAAACGGAUCAAGCGAACGACGAGUCACUGCAAACGUGCUGGGAAAGGUCAAGACAGAACCAGAAGGGAGCAGUAAAAGACGGCCUCUUGUACCGAACAUUCAAAAACAAGACCGGUCUUUCGAACAGCUGGUAGUUCCCCAGAAGUAUCAUGCUGCACUUCUCGAUCUGGUUCAUAGCAAUAGCUGGGCUGGUCAUUUAGGGAUAAAUAAAACUAAGAGCAGAUUACUGAACGACUACUACUGGCCGAUGUGCUUCAAGGAAUCUGAGCAAUGGGUACGUUCUUGCAACGUUUGCCAAAGGGCCGGACGGCCAAACGAAAAAUUCAAGGCGCCUUUGGUCCGAGUGCCUUUGAUUGGCGAACCUUUUCGCAUAUUGGUAGUGGACAUCGUUGGUCCAUUACCAGUCACAUCGGCGGGCAACAAAUACUUGCUAACGCUCAUUUGCCCUGCCACGAAGUUUCCGGAAGCAGUGGUGUUACCGGAAUUAAGCUGCACAGCUGUAGCCAACGCGCUACUCGGCGUCUUUGCCAGAAUCGAAUUUCCCAGUGAAAUCCACUGCGACCAAGGUUCUGUGUUUACAAGCGCGUUUACCACGACAUUCCUGCGGAAAUGUGGCAUAUCCAUUCACCACAGCUCUGUCUACCACCCGCAAAGUUGAAAAACUUCGCUCGGUAAUGAAGCGCAUUCUGCGUGCGCUCUGCUUCGAGAAGGGCACCGACUGGGACACAGCUGUUCCCGCAAUGCUCUUUGCUCUGCGCUCAGUCACUCACGAAGCAACUGGAUGCACCCCGGCGGAACUUGUUUACGGUCGAGCGCUUCGCUCCCCGCUUACCUUGCUAAAGGAAAAGUGGGAAGACAAAUUCGUAGACAAAUCUGUUGUCGAGUACGUGCUCGCCUUGUUGAAACGCCUUCGUGAAUCGCAAGAAUUGGCGCAGAUAACCAUGGCAGAAGCGCAGCAACGCGCGAAGAUGUGUUACGACAGAUCUGCACGCACUCGAUCCUUCAAGGAAGGCGAUAAAGUGCUAAUUUUGAAGUCAUCGAAGGCAAACAAACUGGAAGUAGCAUGGGAUGGCCCGGUCACGGUUAAGCAAAAGCUUUCAGACACCACUUACCUGGUAACGACGCCCGGUAAACGCAACGAUGUGACAACCUACCACUGCAAUCUAAUGAAGCCAUUUAUCGAACGUAUGGAGACGCUGAGCAUCGUCCUAAACGAACCAGAGGAAAUAAAUGUUCUAGUCCCUCAUGUACCGACCCCUUGCUCUUCCCCGUCAACAGAAGAAAUACUCGAAUCUGUCACUAAACAAGCUUCUUUAACAAUCGAGCAAAGAAAGGACUUACAAGAGCUUGUACACAACUUCCGCGAUUUGUUCAGUCCCUAUCCCGGUAAGACAAACCUUGUGGAACACGACAUUGAGUUCACAUCUGACCAACCCUUCCGUACAAGGAUGCACAGAUUUUCGCCCCGCCAUGAGAAGCUGCUGAACGAUUCCGUUCACAACAUGUUGACACUGGGUUUAAUUGUGCCAGGGGAAAGCGAAUACGUGUCAGCAAUGUUUAUCGUAGAAAGUCCGGGCAAGGAACCCAGACCCUGUAUUGACUAUCGUAAGCUGAAUGCGAUAACAAAAACGAAGACGUUUCCCAUUCCUAAUGUUGAAGCCUUGAUCGAGAAAGUUUCCGUGGCACAGUACAUUUCUACGUUAGAUAUGGUACGCGGCUUCUGGCAAGUGCCACUGACAGAGAACGCCACUAAGCUCGCCGCUUUCAUGACUCCGACAGCCAUAUAUCGCCCUCUGGUGCUCACUUUCGGCCUCAAGAAUGCACCGUUCGUAUUUUCAAAACUAAUGAAUCAAGUGCUCACGCGCACCGAGUCUUUCGCUGCGCCUUACCUCUAUGACAUCGCUGUUUUCUCGAGCACCUGGAAACAGCACUUGGACCAUCUGCAGCAGGUAUUCCUUCGAAUCCGCGAAGAAGGCUUGACUCUCAAACUGAGUAAAUGCUGUCUUGCAAACACUGAAGUCCACUACUUGGGGCACGUCGUUGGCCAAGGGAAGCGACGCCCUUCCGAAUUAAAAGUUGAGGCCAUCACUAGCUUUCCUUUGCCAAAAUCAAAGACCAACUUGCGUUCCUUUUUGGGUUUAGCUGAUUAUUACAGAAGCUACAUUCCGAACUUCGCACAUAUCGCUAGUCCUCUUACAGAUGCUCUGCGCAAGACCAAGCCUACUAUUGUGCGUUGGAAUACGGCGCGUAAGGACGCAUUUGCUGCGAUUAAAAAGAUUCUUGUCAGCGCACCGGUUCUCGCGGCACCAGAUUACUCUCUCCCUUUCAUAGUUCAGUGUGACGCCAGUGACCACGGAAUGCGCGUUCUUUUAAGUCAGGUGAACGAAAAAGGCGAGGAGCACCCUGUUGUCUACGCAAGUCGAAAGCUAACGUCACGCGAGCAAGCCUACAGCACAACAGAAAAAGAAUGCGCUUGCUUAGUGUGGGCUCUCGAAAAGCUCUCAUGUUACUUGAAAGGUUCUUCCUUUAUUUUUGAAACCGAUCAUUCCCCCUUAGUGUGCUUAAACCAAAUGUCAAACAAAAAUGGUCGCUUGAUGAGGUGGAGUCUAGCGCUCCAACAGUUCGAUUUUCUAGUGCGCCACAAGAAAGGCAAACGCCAUGCCAAUGCUGACUGCCUUAGCCGCAUUCCCUAGUUUCCUUUCUCUUUAUUCCUUUUUCUCGUGUGCACGCCAGUAAAUGCAAGUCUUUUUAUUCUCGCGUUUAGUUUUCGCGUGUUCUGCUCCCAAUGAAUUCAACUGCCCGGCUUUCCUAAACAUGGGCGCGAGGUUACUUCUGACGUUGUUACUGCGUUUCUUCCGCUCUUCCGAAUGCCUCUUCAGAUCCUGUCGUACCGGCUGACGGAUGAACCCUACUCCAGAGCUUAGAACCACAGAAAGCUGAGCUAGUAGAGGUCUGCAGUCCCCUGUCGCUACGUGCUCGGCAGCCUUCCGGCACUCGGCGAGCAGUGCUAAAUAUGAGCGUCACCUCCUCCUGGACGUCUCAACCCCUCUCCAUGGGCCUGUGGUUCGAGCCUCAAGACGCUUGGUGCCUUCUCCACCAUUACUGCGGUGUCCAGCUCAACUUGCCCGCCUCUGCCACCGAGCACCUCAACGCGCUUUUCCAAGCGCAAGGACAAUAUGAUCUUGCGAACGCUUCAGUGCUGUGCUUGGACAAGCUAGUUGCCCUCCUGUAUACCGCCUUCAGUUGUUCAAGAAGCGUCAUCCUCUUGAACGCCUUCCGCACAGGGUAGCUUUGGCUGAGCUGUAACAUUCGCGGUGCUGGUCGCACUCUCCGUUGCAAUCUACAGAUCAGAUUGGCCCGCUUGCCACAAUAUCUUUCUUUAUUUCGCCACUCCCUGAUUGGCUGCUUAGCGCUUAAAAAGCGCGUCGCCGACCGAAUAAAUGUGAUUGUCUUCCUGG